UACAGAGGGUGCGAGCGUUGUCCGGAAUCACUGGGCGUAAAGGGCGUGUAGGCGGCUGGGUAAGCCGCGUGUGAAAUCCCGGGGCUCAACCCCGGAAUGGCACGCGGGACUGCCUGGCUAGAGCAUGGUAGAGGCGAGUGGAAUUCCCGGUGUAGCGGUGGAAUGCGUAGAGAUCAGGAAGAACACCGGUGGCGAAGGCGGCUCGCUGGGCCAUUGUUUACGCUGAGGCGCGAAAGCGUGGGGAGCAAACAGG
rnacentral:rRNA from 1 species